GCCGUUCCCGUUCCUGCCUCCACGUCGCAGUCCGCCCCAGCGACCUCUAUUAAACGGCAACACCUCAUGCUGCCCCCGUUGCCACACCCGCCGCUCAUCAUGCGCUGGCGAAGGCGAUUGAGCGAGUUGAGCUCCUAAAAGAUAUUUUUUUUUCAGUAUUUCCGGGAGAAUAUAAUGCGGGGUGGCGGCGGUGCUUCCGGGCUUGCGUUUCGGGGCGUGGUGGAGGAGGAGGAAGAAGAGGCAGUGGUUUCGGCGCCGGAGAGGCCAAUGCAGCGGCGGCGGCAGCGGCGGAGGUGGGGAGAGGAGGUGGACGACGGCUACUCGCCGAGCUCCACGGGCGGCGGCGGGAGCAGCUGCUGCGAUUCCUUCGGCUGCGACUCGCCUUUGGCCGGGUUCGUGCGCCCAGAUGGUGACCCAGAUACAGAUCUGGAGACAGAUGGGUUGGCCACUUCCUCCUCCAGUGCUUCUGCAGCCUUUACCGAGCGGCAGGACGACGAAGCAGAGGAGGUGCUGUGCGGGGUGAAGGAAGAGGAGUGGGCUCAGGUACAAGAACCGGCCAAGAAUCCGGCGGCAGGCCGUGCCACCGCAGAAUGCCAUAACCAGCGGUACCGGACGGAGGCUGCUGUUCUUUUGCAUGGUAGGAAGGGGUCGAAGCAGCGGCCAGCCUCACUUGACCUUGGUAGCCCUGGAUUUCAUGGAGCCACGUUUUCUCCAAGUUUCGUGAUUGGUGGUGUGGGGUUGAUGAACAAAGGACUUGGAGCAUCACUCAUCAGGUCAGACGUGUUUCAUAGUCCUGGGACGCCGAACUAUCCACGACACCGUGCAUCAGUGUUGGGGUGCCAGAAAGGGUGGAGCUCUGAGAGAGUUCCACAUCCUUCUAAAGGAAGUAGGAGAUAUCCAGGCAGCAGUAUGGCAUUUCCCUACAGCAAUGGGAGGACAUUGCCCUCGAAAUGGGAGGAUGCAGAGAGGUGGAUCUUCAGUCCCAAUUCCAGUGACGCGCUUGGAAGAACUACGGUUGCUCAUGCUCGGCGACCAAAGUCUAAAAGUGGUCCCCUGGGGCCUCCAGGAAGACUUGGUGGACAGUAUUCAUCUGUUUCUUCAGUGUCAUUGCUUGAUAGUGGGAGAGCUGGACCUAUUACAGCAAAUUCACCUUUCAUGGCAGGAGUACUAAUGCCCGAACAUGUUUGUGGAGGAAAAAAUACAAAUGGAACCUAUUCAGGUAGACCAAUUGGUGACGAAAUCAGCAUUGGAAGAGGAGUCAAAAUUUGUCCACUGAAUGGUGGAUCUCAUCCCAUUCGAACUUCCAGAGUUCGCCAGCGAUUAGAUUAUGCACUCGAAUCAUCUGCUUCAUUGCCUAGCACGCGAGAAUCUAUCCAAGACGAGCAGGUUGAAAUUACUGAAGAUUCAGCUUCUACUAUUGCUUCUAUAAUUUCUAGGAAAGAUGCUGCAACCCAGACCAGCCCAGAGCUAAGUAGGUCCUCUUCGCCCAACACUAGACCAACAUUUAAUCGUUCCCUGUCGACAGAACAAGUGAAAGAGAGCGGGAGCUGUUUCUCAGAUCUUGAUAUCAGGGAUGUUCAGAUGGAUGACCGAGUGACUUUGACUAGGUGGUCAAAGAAAAAUGUAACACGGUCGUCUAACAAGAAUUCAACAAACAUAAUAGAAUGGAAGGAAAAGACAGUGGAGUCAAAUUCUUCAUCCUGGGGCUUUGCGGAAGCGAAGUGCAUAUCUAAGAUUGAUAGAGAGGACACAAAAAUUACUGCAUGGGAGAAUAUUCAAAAAGCAAAAGCUGAGGCAGCAAUUCAGAAGUUAGUGAUUAAGCUCGAGAAGAAAAGAUCAUCUUCCCUGGAUAAGAUUUUGAACACCCUCAAGUCUGCUCAAAGAAAAGCCCAGGUGAUGCGUGAGCGUGAGCGUGAUGCAGUAACAGCAAACCAAGAUGGAAAAGGCUCUAGGAAGGCAAAAAAGAGAGUGCAGCUUAGCAAGAAUGGUCAAAUCAGUUCACUGAGUGGCUGCUUCACUUGCCAUGCUUUCUGAUACAUGUAAUUCCAAAAUUGAGAAUAAGGAUAUGAGAAAUUCCUUUGUAUCCCCUACAUCACCUUCAUGUUCUCCACAUCAAAAUCUGGAUGAAGGUCAGAGAUCCAUCACAUGUCAGUACAUAAUAUCGAUAAUCAUUCAGCUGGAAAUCACAGACUCAGAUCUUUUGAAGAUGCUUAGCUACAGGCUUCAGCUGCUAUGAUAGGAAAAGGAACAAUGCAAUAUCUACAGUGCUUCUCUUUGUUAGUUUCGAUUCUGCCAAGGGGACAAAGAAAAUGGAGCACGAAGGAAAGGAGGAACGGUUCUGCCUACACCCCAUGUGCCCAGUUGAUGCCUCCUUUAUCAUUGUUCCAUUGCCUGGCCUGCCUUGUAGCUAGGCACUGUGAGCCUGUGAGGCUCUGAUGGCGAUCUUGUUGCCAAAGCUGUAUCGACCAUACUAUGUGCAAUUCCGUUCCGAGAGACAGCAAAAUCUUCAGAAGAUCAACAUUGACCGACUUUGGAGUUUGGAUAGAACUUAUGGGUCCUUUUCGACGUGAAGUUUCAAACACGGUUUGGAAAAAAAGGGCAUUAAUCUUAAUCUAUGUGCUCUUACAUGGGCUACCAAAUUUAAGAUCAUUUACUUAUGGUUAAUCUUUUUUGAACAGGUUUCAUGGAUAAAUUCGGGCCACCACUAAUCAAAAGUUCUUAUUUUUCCUUCUCUCAUUUGCUUAUAACACAAUAUCUACAUAGAUAUCACAUGUUCUGUCCAGUAGGAACAUUUAGCUUGUAUGUGUUUUUCUGGCUGAGACUACCAAUUAUUGUAAGUGUUUUUCUACACUAAUUUAUAUAUAGUUUUCUUCA